UAAGGACAAUGUAGUCUAUAUGCAUGGCCAGGCUUCUAAGAAAGUAGAAUAAGCAAUCACCUUCAAUGGUCCCAAAUUUUGAUUCUAUAAAGCCCCAAAAUAUGUUGUGAACCUCCAGGGAAAUUUAAAAUAUUAUUCAUAGUAUUCUUCACAAUUAUUUACUACAUAAGGCAGCAUUAAUUUUGUGUGUGUGUGCCUACUCCUUGGAUCAUUAAUAUAGAUUAAAUCAGUAAGUGGGAACUACUAUUCAAAUAGCCUUUCAUAGCUACUCCAACCCAUACCAACCUCUCUACUCAUCUAAAUACCUACUUAAGAGGAUUCAUUUUAAUAAUAUUCUUUUAGGAUUGGAUCAUUCACCAUCCCAGACUUUUCGUAAUAGACUUUUCUACUAUGCUCCUAUAUAGUUCUUUGUCUUCUUUGUGUAUCUGAUUUAGUUAAAUAAACAUUAAGCACCUUUGAUAUGAAAAGCACAAUUCGAAAGAUAGGGAGAGGGGGAGGUUCUUAAUAGACUUGUCUACCUAACAAGAAUGUGAGCUUCUCAUUCAUGUCUCCUUUUUUCGUUUCCUCUAAAUAGGGAGGCCCAGAACAGGGAUUAGCACAUGGGGAAGUUCAGUACAGAUAUAAAUCUUAUAAAAGCCACUAGUCCGUACAGAGGAUAUUUGGUCAGGCUAGAGGGGACAAUAAAAUGGGAUUUAGUAUGUUCUUAUCAACAAGAAUCAUCCUCAUCAAGCCUAACUGAAGAUAAUUGCUAUUAAAUAAGGGUCUGACCCAAAUCCAAGAUAGUACAUGUGGUUCUUCCUAGGAGCCUGAGGUUCUCCCAACUUAAAGUCUCCAGGAAAUGGAGAAGAAAGGAAAUUGAGCAUCUCUGGGACUUCUCGGACUUCUCCACCAUGCUCAUUAUUGGGAGACUCUCAUGAGCUAGAAAGAUCUUAUUAGCCCAGGUAUUCCACCUCAUCCUUACCCUUUUGUACCUCUGAUUGGACAUUUGAACCCCAAAAUCUCCAUUUAAGGAAAGAGCCCAGGUCAGGUCAUUGUCUCAUUUUUCACUUGAUUAUACUAGGUUGGGAUUUCUCUGCUUUUUUUUUUUUUUUUAACCAUGCCCCUAUGUCUAAUACCUGAACCCUUUUCAGCUUCCUUCUGUUUAUUGUCUUCUCCCAUUGAACUGCAAAUUUCUCGAGGGCAAGAAUUGUCUUUCUCUCCCCAGUCCCAUAUUUUUAUUCCCAGUGGCUAGCACAGUCCCUGGCAUAUAGUAGGCAUUUAAUAAAUAUUCACGGACUGGCAUAAAGAUUCCUCCCAUCCCCUUCCAGCAGUAGGGAUUACCUUAAAAUAUGCUCUAGGGCUAGGGAUAAACAGUCCUUCCAUAGGAGAGCCUGACCAAGGGAGCUACAGUGGGAAAGUACUUCCAGGGACUAGUGGGUUGGGCUCUGGGAAACAUAAGUAUUCAUCUGUUAUACAGAUACUUUCAGCUGCUUCUGACUCUUCCUGACCCCAUUCGGGGUUUUCUUGGCAAAGAUAUUGGACUGAUUUGCAGUUCCCUUUUCCAGCUCCUUUUACAGGCAGAAGAAACGAAGGCCGAGUUAAGUGACUGGUCCAGGGCCACACCGCCAGAUUUGAACUCUCCCGACUGCGAGUCCAGCAUUCUAUGCACUCUGGUGCUGCCUCGUUUCAUGCAGGAAUUCUAUUUUAUCCAUUCUAUGCUGUAUACACCAUCGAACCCAGCACAUGACCUUGAGAUCAGCAAAUGCCUGCUUGCUGAAUAAAUAAAAAAGCUGCACCCAAGAAGAUGGUAAAGUGGUGCCAGACACUAAAAACAAAGAACACAGCUCACCAUGAGGAUGCUCACAGCUAAGGCCAACUCCUGGGUUUCAGAGGGCUUAUAUCUUCUGGACCAGGAUCUACUUCCAAUUUUAAUUCUCCGAAUUUAGCCACUAACUUAGAGUGUAUUGCAAAAUCACUUCAUUUUUGAUUUUAUGGACUUCAGUGUUUCAUUCUGUAUGAUAAAUAGGUUGGUAGGGCUGGAUGACUUCCCAGGUCCCUGCUAGCUCUUAUAAUAUGCUAUGAUCUUAUCAUCCUAAACUAUGCUAUUCAUGCAUUCUGUUUUUCUUAAAACAAUGGAAGCUGACUGACAGUGUAUGAAAUUCUCAGAUCCUCUGAUCUUUCCAUUUCUGUUCCACCUCCAACUUUCUGCUCUGUCUGAAUCCUCACCAAGAAACCAAAUCAUCUUAUGGAAAGAAGAUCCAUCCAUCCUUUCUUUCCAGUUCCCAGUUUACUGGCCCAUGCUGGGGCUUCUCAAGGCAACAGAUGGUGGUGUUAACAUUAAUAUCUGGGUGGCCUUUUAGGCUGUCAGUUAGUUACUAGAAGUGGAAAAGGCUUGGGAUGUCCCAUACACACUUUUUAACCAACGCCCCUGUCAGCAUAUAACCAGACUAGGAGAGAGAGCUUCCCCUUGUCUGGCUAGGGGAAGAUACUAAGAAGGGAAGCUGUUCAUUGCUACACAGCUGGAUGCCCUGGGGGUGAUGGAAAUGGGGGGGUGGGGUUGGAAUCUGUCAUAUUAGUGUUGCCUCAGCAUAAGGCAGUGCCUGUACAUUUGACUGCCCUGAAAGACGGGACAGGAGAUUAGACAGAACGUGAUAUUUUUCCAUCUGUGACUAAUGUGUUUGCUGCUAGUUAAUGCCAAUUGCUUUACGAUAAAGUCACAUUUCUUGCUUAACA